rnacentral:rRNA from 1 species
GACGAACGCUGGCGGCGUGCUUAACACAUGCAAGUCGAACGAAGUGGCGAACGGGUGAGUAACGCGUAAUCAACCUGCCCAUCAGAGGGGGACAACAGUUGGAAACGACUGCUAAUACCGCAUACUGAAGGAGGGGAUUGCGUCUGAUUAGCUAGUUGGAGGGGUAACGGCCCACCAAGGCGAUGAUCAGUAGCCGGUCUGGGAGGAUGGACGGCCACAAUUGGACUGGGGAACGGCCCAGGCUCCUACGGGAGGGAGCAGUGGGGGAUCUUCCGCAAUGGACGAAAGUCUGGCGGAGCAACGCCGCGGGAGUGAUGACGGCCUUCGGGUUGUAAAGCUCUGUUAAUCGGGACGCGGUACCGGAAUAGAAAGCCACGGCUAACUACGUGCCAGCAGCCGCGGUAAUAC